GAACCGGUUUAACCGGAAGGCGCUCCCCUGCUAAGGGAGUAGACCUCAAAAGGGUCUCGUGGGUUCGAAUCCCAUCCUCUCCGCCA
rnacentral:tRNA from 1 species